rnacentral:rRNA from 1 species
UACGGAGGGGGCCAGCGUUGUCCGGAAUUACUGGGCGUAAAGCGCACGUAGGCGGACUGUUAAGUCGGGGGUGAAAUCCUGGGGCUCAACCUCAGAAGUGCUUUCGAUACUGGCAGCCUUGAGUACGGGAGAGGUGAGUGGAAUUCCAAGUGUAGAGGUGAAAUUCGUAGAUAUUGGGAAGAACACCAGUGGCGAAGGCGGCUCACUGGCCCGUAACUGACGCUGAGGUGAGAAAGCGUGGGGAGCAAACAGG